GACUGAUGUGACCUGGGCGCGGUGUCCCAGAGCCCUGGCAUUCCCCGCUCCCGUCCUGGGCCACCCGGAGCAUCACUUAGAUUCCAACGGUGGUCCCGGCCUGAAGGAGGAUCCAGGGCCCAGCCUAAUCCAGAGUCAUCCCCGCAGAACCUAAGAAGAUGGCAGAAAGCUUGUUUGUCUGUUUUCCAUAAAGAUCAGCAGGUGCUGCAGCUGGACUUAGAAGACCUAGCGGGGUUCCUGACGGGCCUUGGCUGUGCGCCCCUGAGCCUCAGUCUUCCUCUCCUGGAAGAUGGGAACAGCAGGAGCUUUGGACCUGCCAGACAGGACUCGGAAGGAAGCCUGGGGUAUUUUUGUUGAUCCUCAGAGAUCGAGGACCAUUUCACUGUUUUUCACUCCAUAAAAAUUUUGGUGCAAGGUGGUCGGGAAAAGAGGAGACGAAGGAAGCCGAGCACCGAAACCAGUAGGCACAUAGUGACACUUGACUCAUGAAGGAGAAGGGAAGGCUUGUCAUCAUCUUGGGGCACCAGGCAGG